CGUGAAGGAAGCUGGAAUGAGGUGGGGAUGGUGCUAAGGCUCGAGGGGUUCUCAGAGACGGGAAGAACUGGAUCAAUACACUGAAAAUGAAAAAACCUUCAGGUGAGAGAAAGAGGGGAUGGGAAAGACAUGGAUAGUACAGACCAAGAUGAUACAGCUACAAGGCACAGAGACCUGGCACCUGGGUCUCAAAAGAGUAUACAUCUUCCAAUAAGCUUCACAGCAACUCUGAGACAGGCAUGAGUGACUAUCCUCGUUUUACAGAUAUAAAUAGAGGCUCUGGGACUUCCCUGGUGGCGCAGUGGUUAAGAAUCUGCCUGCCAAUGCAGGGGACAUGGGUUCGAUCCCUGGGCUGGGAAGAUCCCACAUGCUGUGAAGCAACUAAGCCCGUGUGCUACAACUACUGAGCCUCCAUGCUGCAACUACUGAAGCCCAUGCGCCUAGACCCCGUACUUCGCAACAAGAGAAGCCAUAGCAAUAAGAAGACCACACACAGCAAUGAAGAGUAGCCCCUGCUUGCCGAAACUAGAGAAAGCCCAUGUGCAGCAACGAAGACCCA